rnacentral:rRNA from 2 species
UACGGAGGGUGCAAGCGUUGUUCGGAAUUAUUGGGCGUAAAGCGCGCGCAGGCGGCUGGAUAAGUCCAGGGGUGAAAUGCCGGAGCUCAACUCCGUGCGUGCCCCGGAUACUGUCUGGCUGGAGACACGUAGAGGCAAGCGGAAUUUCGGGUGUAGCGGUGGAAUGCGUAGAGAUCCGAAAGAACACCGGAGGCGAAGGCGGCUUGCUGGGCGUGAUCUGACGCUGAGGCGCGAAAGCGUGGGGAGCGAACAGG